CAGGGGGGGUAAGCGUUGUUCGGAAUUACUGGGCGUAAAGGGUUCGUAGGUGGCUUGCUAAGUCUGACGUGAAAUCCCUCAGCUUAACUGGGGAACUGCGUCUGAUACUGGCGAGCUUGAGUGCAGGAGAGGAACGCGGAAUUCCAGGUGUAGCGGUGAAAUGCGUAGAUAUCUGGAGGAACACCGGUGGCGAAGGCGGCGUUCUGGACUGCAACUGACACUGAGGAACGAAAGCCAGGGGAGCAAACGGGAUUAGAUACCCCGGUAGUCCUGGCCCUAAACGAUGAAUGCUUGGUGUGGCGGGUAUCGAUCCCCGCUGUGCCGAAGUUAACGCGUUAAGCAUUCCGCCUGGGGAGUACGGUCGCAAGGCUG
rnacentral:rRNA from 1 species